UACGUAGGGGCCGAGCGUUGUCCGGAGUUACUGGGCGUAAAGCGCGCGCAGGCGGCUCGUCAAGCCUGACGUGAAAGCCCCCGGCUCAACCGGGGAGGGUCGUCGGGGACUGGCGGGCUUGAGGUCGGCAGGGGUUGGUGGAAUCCCGGUGUAGUGGUGAAAUGCGUAGAGAUCGGGAGGAACACCCGUGGCGAAGGCGGUUCUCUGGGACGGUACUGACGCUGAGACGCGAAAGCGUGGGGAGCGAACAGG
rnacentral:rRNA from 1 species